rnacentral:rRNA from 1 species
UCGAUUUGGAGUUUGUUGCCUAGAGUGAUGGGCACCGAAGCUAACGCGAUAAAUCGACCGCCUGGGGAGUACGGCCGCAAGGUUAAAACUCAAAUGAAUUGACGGGGGCCCGCACAAGCGGUGGAGCAUGUGGUUUAAUUCGAUGCAACGCGAAGAACCUUACCUGGUCUUGACAUCCACAGAAUCUUGCAGAGAUGCGAGAGUGCCUUCGGGAACUGUGAGACAGGUGCUGCAUGGCUGUCGUCAGCUCGUGUUGUGAAAUGUUGGGUUAAGUCCCGCAACGAGCGCAACCCUUAUCCUUUGUUGCCAUUGGUUCGGCCGGGAACUCAAAGGAGACUGCCGUUGAUAAAGCGGAGGAAGGUGGGGACGACGUCAAGUCAUCAUGGCCCUUACGACCAAGGCUACACACGUGCUACAAUGGCGUAUACAAAGGGAGGCGACCUCGCGAGAGCAAGCGGACCUCAUAAAGUACGUCUAAGUCCGGAUUGGAGUCUGCAACUCGACUCCAUGAAGUCGGAAUCGCUAGUAAUCGUGAAUCAGAAUGUCACGGUGAAUACGUUCCCGGGCCU